ACACCUCGCAGCCACGCCGUCAACGCCGAGGAGAGCGGCGCCGGGGCCGUCGGACCCCGACCCUGCAGCGCUUCGCAAGGGCCAUCGAUGAGGCCGAGCUGCAGUCCCGCAACCCCGCACCCUGUCCCCGCCGCAGGGAGAAAGUGCCCGGUUCCACGCACUGUCGCGACGGUGCCCGAGGCCCAUGACUUGGCGAGAUUCGUCAAAGGACGUGCAGGAUCGGGACUGGGGGACAGGGCCUGUGCCCAGGACGAAAAAGAUGUGUCACUAGGCCGUUUGGGAGACGCUCUAAACCGGAGCAGUGCGUGCAUGACCAUCCCCUCGGGCACAGCCCCAGCCAGCAGAACGUGCUCACCUGCACCCCGAGCAGUGACAAAGCAGAAGCCUAGAGAUUGGGAUGGGCCUGGGGGAGUGUAACCAGCUCAGGCCAACCUCGAACUUGCAGCGACCCUCCUGCCUCAGUCACAAACCCUGACAGGACACAGCUCCCCAACUCAGACGCCAUGGUCUCUCCGCUCUCCCUCACAGAUCUUCCAGGCAAGAUUUUGGCCUGGCCCUGCUGGUCCCUAAUACACCAGGGCUGGGG
rnacentral:lncRNA from 1 species